rnacentral:rRNA from 1 species
ACAAGUCAAUUACACGAAGUUGUAUGAGCUAAUUUAAACAAAAAUUUAUGUAGCAUAAUAAAUUGGUUAAUUUAAAUUAGGAGUGAUAGGCCCUCAAAUGCAAAGAUAACUUGAUUCUUUCCAAAUGUUACAGUACAUAAGCGGACCUAAAGUGAUAAGGUUUUAGGUUGUUAAUUAAAGUAAUAGAUAUAUAAAGUACGGUAUAAUAGCCUGAUAAACUUAAUUGAUUAUUUAUGUUUAAAAUGUUAUUAAUAUUAGUUAGACACUAUAAAUGCAUUUAAAGAUUGCUAAUGUUAAUAUGAGUAGAGACGAUGAAUGUGCUUAGUGAACUCGGCAAUAAGAUUUUCAACUGUUUAUCAAAAACAUAGCCAGGCGCGCGUACGUUUGGUGACUUCUGCUCAAUGAUACAUUAAAUAGCCGCAGUACUCUGACUGUGCAAAGGUAGCGUAAUCAUUUGUCUUUUAAUUAAAGUCUUGUAUGAAUGAAUGUAUGGGGAUCUCCUUUACCAAGGAUAGGGUUUGAAUUUACUUAGUGAGUGCAAAUACUCGCAGUACUAUAUUAGACGAGAAGACCCUAGAAAUUUUAAAAUAUGUUUUGUUGGGGCAACAUAGUAACAAACAAUUUACUAUAUGUAUAUGGCAUUUAUUAGACAAAUUAAAUUACUCUAGGGAUAACAGCAUAAUACUGAUGUGUUUGUGACCUCGAUGUUGGACUAGGGAGUUGUAAUUUAGA